CAAGAAGAUAAUGAUUGGGGUAAUGCUUUUACACUUCAGGGAUCACCAGGAUUGCCAGUAAACCACCAGAAUUCAGGAGAGAAAUUUGGAACAGAUUUCUGCUCACAACCAAUAGAAGCAAUCCUGCUUGCUUGAUUGACCUCAGACUUUUAGGUUGCAGAAAUGUCCAAUAGGACUCCAGGACUUGCCAGCUCUAGCUUUAUGUGAAAACAAGAUUAGAUGCAUUUCUGGCUGGACACAGGAAACAAAGCCGGAACCAGUGGAUAAGAGUUUUACAGAAGCAAAUUUUGGCACAAUGAAAAGAUAAUCUUCCCAUGGACAAAGGGUGCCCAAAAUUGGAAUGAGAAUUCUGUGAGACUGUGGCAUCCCCAUCGUAAGAGGGGAGAAGUGAAAGGUGGUGAUUUUAUGCCUGACUCCAAAUCAAAGUUAUUGGAGCCAAGCAGUAGCCAGGAGGAAGAAUUUUGCCUUUCAAGGCAUAGCACUUUGCUUCUCAGAUCAGCACCCAUCCCUCCUGUAUUUGCAAAGUCCCCCAGAUUGUGGAGCUGCUCUGACUCAAGUUUAUCUUCAGAAGAAACUUUCGGGAUCCAGCAAUCGCCUGACUGUGGAGAAUCUAAAACUCCAUAUAUUGACUUUUAAAUAAUGCCUCGGUCUUUAGCCACACAGUGCACACAUAUUAGAGAUAAGUGGUACUUUCCCUUGUUGAGAUUUCCUGGACUCAUGCAUCUUGAAUAAGAUGAGCAAAGCCCAGUGUGGACUCCUGAGGAGAAAGUUUGUCUUCAGCAUCCCCCAG